AGCAUGUUAGCUCAGGGGAAGAGCGCCGGGCUCAUAACCCGGAGGUACGUCACAACCAUCCACAGAUUCGCCAAAUUCAUUAUCCUAAUGAACCAUCAGGUCCCUGGAUCGAAACCAGGACAUGCUA